AUUUAUGAGCUCUAAAACGACGU
rnacentral:snRNA from 1 species